AUACGGAAGGUCCGGGCGUUAUCCGGAUUUAUUGGGUUUAAAGGGAGCGCAGGCGGAGAUGCAAGCGUGACGUCAAAUUUCGGGGCUCAACCCCGUCUCGCGUCGCGAACUGCGUCCCUUGGUUGCGGGAAGGGGAGGCGGAACUCGUGGUGUAGCGGUGAAAUGCAGAGACAUCACGAAGAACUCCGCUCGCGAAGGCAGCCUUCCGGCCCGUCAACGACGCUCAUGCCCGAAGGUGCGGGUAUCAAACAGGAUUAGAUGCCCUGGUAGUCCGCACAGUAAACGAUGGACACCCGCGGUUUGGCCUCUAUGGCGGAGCCGUCAAGCGAAAGCGUUAAGUGUCCCACCUGGGGAGUACGCCGGCAACGGUGAAACUCAAAUGAAUUGACGGGG
rnacentral:rRNA from 1 species